GGUGGGGGUUAGGGGGCUUCCUUCGUGAUGUGCCCGCUUUGGCAAACCAAGGCCUUUUAUAAGAUGGUAAAAUGAAACUGAGAGUCAUGGAGGAGGAAAAUUAAGUCGUCUGAUUUUCUGAGGGACAGAACACACCCAGAGCUCGCACCAGAGAUAUCCAGAAGGAAGGGAAGUGUGCAGUGGGCUAGGCAAUGGACACAAAACCCACAGAAGGCAGAGGGGCAUGGCAGAUCUUGCUGUUAGGAGGCUUGGACUAUGGCUACCAAAAUUCCUCUCCUGAGGAAAAUAUAAACAAUGUCUAAGGUCCCUAGAAGACAUCCAGGAAAGAUAGCACCAAAGUUCACCCCAGGGAAUCGACAAGUCUGUUGGUCUUACUUACAGAGCACCGAGAAGGGGUUACGGGCAGGAGUGUGGGUGCUCCCAAAGCUCCCACUGGAAAGUGUUUACCCAACAGGAGUCAUUCCUUUCCAUAGUUGCAUAAUGGAGACCUCUCCUCACCCUCACCACCCGUAUAUUCUAGCCCUGUUCUGCACAGCAGUUUGGGGCAGAACUGCACACAACAUGUGGUAUGAAAUGGCUAGAUACUCAGUGUUAAGGGUAGAACCCAUACAUCGUGUGUUAGUCAAGAACUCUGCCCCAGCCAGUCCUUGGUAUUCUAACCCAUGUGUCCAUCUCCACUGCUGGAAAAUCGUGUAAGCAGCUAGGACAGCAUAUUGAAGAAUUUACACCCUGCCCAGUGGAGAAAUAGGUUCUUGGCAAUUAUAAUCAAUACUACUAUGUCAUAGAGUAAAAACAGGAGAGGGGACUUCAAGCCAUCUGGUCACAGGUAAUAACCAGAAGGCAAAAGUGUCCUAGGUCUUCUAAAGAUAUACAAUUUUUAAAAUUG